UACGAAGGGGGCGAGCGUUGUUCGGAAUUACUGGGCGUAAAGGGCGCGUAGGCGGUGUGUCAAGUCAGGCGUGAAAGCCCCGGGCUCAACCUGGGAACCGCGCUUGAGACUGGCACGCUCGAGUCCGGGAGAGGAUGGUGGAAUUCCCAGUGUAGAGGUGAAAUUCGUAGAUAUCGAGAGGAACACCGGUGGCGAAGGCGGCCAACUGGACGAAUACUGACGCUGAGACACGAAAGCGUGGGGAGCAAACAGG
rnacentral:rRNA from 1 species